UUCGGACAAGAGGAAGGGGGAUUAGUCUUGCAGUUCUGACCAACUUUGCGUCAAAUGCUAUUGUGACCUUUGCAUUCUAUCCACUAAAGGAGAUUCUAGGAGCAGAGAACCUUUUUCUCUUUUUGGUGCUAUUGCUUUAUUAUCACUCCUGUUCGUUGUAUCUUCUGUUCCUGAGACAAAAGGUCUGAGCCUAGAAGAUAUUGAAUCCAAAAUCUUGAAGUGACGGCUUAAACUAGCUCCGGAUGAUCACAACUCAUUACCACUUGGUGAGCGUCGCGUUAUGUGCUGUACAGUGUAGCAUGUGAAGAUACCCGAAUUGCUCGAAGGCAUUGACUCAUGGUUUAGUAUUCAUGAUGACGCACUAAUCCUUUAUAGGGCUCAUGACUCAUCGCAGACAGUGCAAGAAUCACUGUAUAGAUUUAUUCUAAUAUGCAGUGAUAACUAAUAGAUAAUAAUCGAGUUUUGCCAACUAA